rnacentral:lncRNA from 1 species
AUAUGUCUUACAUAUUCACUUAGCAUUUAGCUCUUGCAUUCAUUAGCAUACUUUACAUGCAUACAUUUCUUAGCAUCUUUAUCAUGGCACUAUAUACAUUUAUUAGCAUCAUUAUGGUGCAUUCUUACUUAACAUUCUUAUUAUGCAUUCUUACUUAACAUUCUUAUCAUGCAUCAAUAGUGAAACACACUACACUUUGGCAUGAAGGCGACCUAGUCGCUUCGGUAAGCACAACCCACCUUUUAACGCUUUCCGAUUGCUUGUCGUCACUUGCAAUCGGCCUCCCGCGGCAUCCGUGACCCGGUUCGGCUCGAACUCUUGCGCGACCACCCGAACGGCCACCAAUCCGCGAUCCGUCUGUUCGGGAGUUUAUUCCCCGACAUCGCGAUGCUCCC